UGGGGAAUAUUGCACAAUGGGCGAAAGCCUGAUGCAGCAACGCCGCGUGAGGGACGACGGCCUUCGGGUUGUAAACCUCUUUUAGCAAGGAAGAAGCGAAAGUGACGGUACUUGCAGAAAAAGCGCCGGCUAACUACGUGCCAGCAGCCGCGGUAAUACGUAGGGCGCAAGCGUUAUCCGGAAUUAUUGGGCGUAAAGAGCUCGUAGGCGGUUUGUCGCGUCUGCUGUGAAAACCCGAGGCUCAACCUCGGGCCUGCAGUGGGUACGGGCAGACUAGAGUGCGGUAGGGGAGAUUGGAACUCCUGGUGUAGCGGUGGAAUGCGCAGAUAUCAGGAAGAACACCGAUGGCGAAGGCAGAUCUCUGGGCCGUAACUGACGCUGAGGAGCGAAAGGGUGGGGAGCAAAACGAGGCUUAGAUGACCCUGGUAGUCCACCCCGUAAACGUUGGAACUAGUUGUGGGUCCAUUCCACGGAUUCCGUGACGCAGCUAACGCAUUAAGUUCCCCGCCUGGGGAGUACGGCCGCAAGG
rnacentral:rRNA from 1 species